rnacentral:rRNA from 1 species
AUUGAACGCUGGCGGCAGGCCUAACACAUGCAAGUCGAACGAGUGGCGGACGGGUGAGGAGUGUAUGGGAAACUGCCUGAUGGAGGGGUAUAACGACUGGAAACGGUAGCUAAUACCGCAUACCACCGGAUGUGCCCAGAUGGGAUUAGCUAGUAGGUGGGGUAAAGGCCUACCAAGGCGACGAUCCGUAACUGGUCUGAGAGGAUGAUCAGUCACACUGGAACUGAGACACGGUCCAGACUCCUACGGGAGGCAGCAGUGGGGAAUAUUGGACAAUGGGCGAAAGCCUGAUCCAGCCAUGCCGCGUGUGUGAAGAAGGUCUUCGGAUUGUAAAGCACUUUAGGUUGUGAGGCGGUACCAACAGAGUAAGCACCGGCUAACUUCGUGCCAGCAGCCGCGGUAAUAC